UACGAAGGGGGCUAGCGUUGCUCGGAAUCACUGGGCGUAAAGGGUGCGUAGGCGGGUCUUUAAGUCAGAGGUGAAAUCCUGGAGCUCAACUCCAGAACUGCCUUUGAUACUGAGGAUCUUGAGUUCGGGAGAGGUGAGUGGAACUGCGAGUGUAGAGGUGAAAUUCGUAGAUAUUCGCAAGAACACCGGAGGCGAAGGCGGCUUGCUGGGCUUGGUCUGACGCUGAGGCGCGAAAGCGUGGGGAGCAAACAGGAUUGAGAUACCGGAGUAAG
rnacentral:rRNA from 1 species